UUUUUUUUUUUUUUUCAUUUUUGGCCACCCCACGGCAUAUGGAUUUCCCUGGCCAGGGCUCAGAUCUGAACCAUAGUUGUGAACUAAACUACAGCUGAGGCAAUGCCAGAUCCUUAACCCACUGUGUUGGGCUGGGGAUUGAACCUGCGUCCCAACGCUCCCAGUAUGCCACCUAUCCUGUUGCACCACAGUGGUCACGCCAGUUUUUUAUUUUAUUUAUUUUUAGAUUUCCUGAAUAAGAGAAAUCAUAUGGUAUUUUUUUUUUCUGGCUUAUUUAGCUUACCACAGUGCAUCAGUGACUGUCUAUGUUGUUGCAAGGGCAAGAUCUCAUUCUUUUUGUGGCUGUAUAGACACACACCCCCCCCCACACACACACACACCCCCACACACACCAGUUUCUUUAUGCAUUAAUCUAUUGAUGGAUUAGUUUGUUUCCAUAUCAAGGCNUGUAAUUGUGUUUUUGUUUUCCUUGACAGUUUCCUUUGCCUUGCAAAAGCUUUUCUUCUUCUUUUUUUUUUUUUUUUUUUUUUUUUUGUCUUUUUGCCAUUUCUUGGGCCACUCCCGCGCCAUAUGGAGGUUCCCAGGCUAGGGGUUGAAUCAGAGCUGUAGCCACUGGCCUACGCCAGAGCCACAGCAACGCAGGAUCCCAGCUGCGUCUGCAACCUACACCACAGCUCCCGGCAACGCCGGAUCGUUAACCCACUGAGCAAGGGCAGGGAUCGAACCCACAACCUCAUGGUUCCUAGUCGGAUUCGUUAACCACUGCUCCACGACAGGAGCUCCGCAAAAGCUUUUAAGUUUGAUUAUUUGUUUAUUCUUGCCUUGGGAGACUGAUCUAAGAAAACAUUGUUACAAUUUAUGUCAGAGAAUGUUUUGCCUAUGGUCUCUUCUGGGAGUUUUAUGGUGUCAUGUUUUAUGUUUGGGUCUCUAAACUAUUUUGAGUUUUUUUUGUAUAUGGUGUGAGGGAGUGCUCUAAUUUCAUUCUUUUACACAUAGCUGUCCACCCAACCCAGCACCACUUGCUGAAGAGACUCUCUUUUCUCCAUUGUAUAUUUUGCCUCCUCUGUCAUAGAUUAAUUAGUUAUUGGUAUGUAUGUACUUAAUGCCAUUUUUUAAAUUGUUUUUGUAGGUCUUUUUUGUUCCUUCUUUUGUGACUUGAUGACUAUCUUUAACAUUGUAUUUGUAUUUGUAUUCCUUUCUCUUUUUGUGUAUCUAUUAUAGAUUUUUGGUUUGUUGUUACCAUGAGAUUUACAUAUAUAUAUAUAGCCAAAUAUAUGAUUUUUCAGUUGCUGAUCUCUUAAUUUCAAACACAUUUUAAGAACCCCACAUUUUUACUCUCCUCCUAUCAUGAUUACUGUUUUUGACAUCAUAUUUUACAACUAUUUUUUUUUUGUAUCUCUUAAUUUCUUAUUCUGGAUAUAGAUGAUUUUACUACUUUUUUUCUUUUAACUUUCCUACUGCCUUUGUAUGUGGUUGAUUUACUACCAUUCCCAUGUAUUUGCCUUUACUAAUGAGAUUUUUCCUUUAAUAAUUUUCACAUUCUAGUUGUGGCCUUUUCUUUUUCACUUAGAGAAGUCCCUUUAACAUUUCUUGUGAAGCUAGUUUUGUGGUACUGAACUGUUUUAACUUUUGCUUGUAUGUAAAAUUUUUCCCUCUCCAUCAAAUCUGAAUAAAAGCUUUGCUGGGCAGAGUAUUCAUGGUUGCAUGUGUUUCUCUUUCAUACAUUAAGUAUAUCAUGCCACUCCUCUUUGCUGAAAAGCAACAUAUAGCCUUAUGGGAGUUCCCUUGCAUGUCACAUGUUGCUUUUCCCUUGCUGCUUUUCUUUAUUUUUAGGGCCACACUCACAGGAUAUGGAAAUCCCCAGAGCUGGUCAAAUUGGAGCUACAGCUGCUGGCCCAUGCCACAGUCAUAGCAAUGCCAGAUCUUUGCCACAUCUG
rnacentral:lncRNA from 1 species